AUCCUUAACGCCAGGACGGAUUGGAGCAUCUUGACGACCUUCAUUGAUAUGAGAUUCAAUCAUAACACCAACAAUGGAAGAGUCGCCAUUUCUGAUUUGUUCGGCGAUGCUCUUGGAGACCUUUGGUUGGUUCAAAUGAUUCUUGCUUGAGUUGCCAUGAGAGCAAUCGAUCAUGAUACGAGGAGGAAGGUUGGCCUUCUCAAGAUCUUUGCGAACGGCGGCAACGUGCUCAGCAUCAUAGUUAGGACCCUUCUUACCACCACGCAAAAUGAUGAAGGUAUCCUUGUUGCCCCUGGUCAUGGUAAUAGCGGCGAGACCUUGUUUAGUAACUCCUAGCAUUGUGUGAGGAUGGGCGGUAGCACCAAUGGCAUCAAUCGCCACACCAACAGUACCAUCAGUACCAUUCUUGAAACCAACAGGGAAGGAAAGGGCAGAAGCCAAUUCACGAUGUAAUUGAGACUCGGUAGUACGAGCACCGAUAGCACCAAAACUGAGUAAGUCGGCGAAGAAUUGGGGAGAAAUGUUGUCCAACAUCUCACUGGCCAAAGGAAUGCCAAAAUUGGUAACGUCGCAAUACAUUUGACGAGCCAUCCUAAUACCCUUGUUGAUAGCAAAAGAACCAUCCAAGUUAGGGUCGUUGACCAAACCCUUCCAUCCGAUAGUAGUACGGGGCUUCUCCAAAUAACAACGCAUGACAACGCACAAAGCAUCCUGAAGCUCGUCAGCUUUGGGCUUCAGCAACUUAGCAUAGUCCAUGGCCAAUUUAGGGUCAUGAAUGGAGCAAGGACCGACAACAACGAUAAUUCUGUCAUCUUGUUUGUUGAGAAUAGCUUGAAUCUCCUUUCUGGAGUCAGUGAUGACUUUGCGAGAAGUUUCAGAAACAGGAAUCUCUUGUUGAACCAAAGCGGCAGGAACCAAAGGGUUGUAACCUAAGACACGGUUGUCAUCAAGAUGCUCUUGAUCGUAAGUUUCACCGCUGGGUAAAAAAACCUAAUUGAAUAAUGUUAGCAAAUUGACAUUAAAAAAAAAGACCAAACAUGCUGGACAUAGCAAUCAACAUAAAGCAAUAAAAAUUUCAAAAAAAAGAAACAAAAAAAUUUAAAAUUUCAAUUGCCUAAAAAUUCAUCAGCAAAAACAAAUUUGUUAUCCGCAUAGUAAAAUCUACUAUAUAACUCAAUAAGAUAACUUUCAGUACUGUUUCUCCGACUGAUGAAAAUUUUUACUAGCAAAAUUCUUUGGAUGCCCAAUUGGGGUUACUUACCGGAGACAUGGCUUAUUAAAUAGAAUUAAUAAAUUUAGGUCAAAGAGUGCUUCCU